CUUGUUGCCGAGCCCCGCCUUGAUAUAAUGAUUGACAGGUUGGGGGUGUGAUCGGCUCGGAAUGCAUGUUCAAAUCCACAUCGACUUAAACUACAUUAUGGCGGGGUAUUUAAUGAAAAUACAACUGAAACGUCUUAAGUGUAAGUGUCAAUGCAUUU